UUCCCGGGUGUGCUUAAUAAAAAAUACUCUCCCGCCUAAGUUAAAACCCUAUUCCAUUAUUAAAACAAAUACAAAAAAAAUGGAUCAUCUUCUUCACAACCGCUGCUACAUCUAGGAGAAAACCUAAACCUUAUUUGAUUAAAUCAAAUUCGUGGUUUUACGGGAUCUUUCUUCGUCUUCUUCUUCAAUUUUUUGCCUUCGUCAACAAAUAUUUUGCUUCCAGAUUGAGAAGAAACUAUGCAAACUAGACGUCACAACAGACUAGUAAUUCAACAAGAUGAUGAUGAAGAAGUGCGACACUAUAUUGAGCAAUUGAUGGAGAAUCAAAACCACUCUGCAGCACAACCUUAUAUUGAGCAGUUGAUGGAUAAUCGGAACAACUCUGAGGCCCAAUCACAUGAUGGUCAAUCUAAUGAGGUGAAUAGUUGUCUUUGGUGGCGCUGAGGCUCAACAUAAUGAU